rnacentral:rRNA from 1 species
UACAGAGGUCCCAAGCGUUGUUCGGAUUCACUGGGCGUAAAGGGUGCGUAGGUGGUGGGGUAAGUCGGAUGUGAAAGCUCGGAGCUCAACUCCGAAAUGGCAUUGGAAACUACCCUGCUAGAGGAUUGGAGGGGGGACUGGAAUACUUGGUGUAGCAGUGAAAUGCGUAGAUAUCAAGUGGAACACCAGUGGCGAAGGCGGCGACCUGGUCCAUUACUGACGCUGAGGCGCGACAGCGUGGGGAGCAAACAGG